rnacentral:lncRNA from 1 species
AGCUACACAAUAUUUGGGUUUCCCACGAUAUUUGGGUUUCCCACAAUAUUUGGGCUCCCCACAACCAUUGUUUUCCCAAAACUAUGUGGGUUUCCCGCAAUAUUUGGGUUUCCCACAUUAUUUGUGUUCCCCACAACCUUUGUUUUCCCAAAAAUAUUUGGGUUCCCCACAACUACCUCAUUCUUGAGUCACAGAGCCAGGGAUAGACCACAACAAGUGGAUGAGUCCACGCAAUAUUUGGGUUCCUCUACCAUUAUCUCUAACCCAAACCAUAAAACCAAUAAAUGGCCCCAACAUGUAGGUGAAGCUACACAAUAUUUGGGUUUCCCACAAUAUUUGGGUUCCCCACAACCUUUGUUUUCCCAAAAAUAUUUGGGUUUCCCACAAUAUUUGGGUUCCCCACAACCUUUUUUUUCCCCAAAACUAUUUGGGUUUCCCACAAUAUUUGGGUUUCCCACAGUAUUUGGGCUCCCCACAACCUUUGUUUUCCCAAAACUAUUUGGGUUUCCCAUAAUAGUUGGGUUUCCCACAAUAGUUGGGUUUCUGACAACCUUUGUUUUCCCAAAAAUAUUUGGGUUCCCCACAACUACCUCAUGCCUGAGGCACAAAACCAAGGAUGGACCACAACAAGUGGAUGAAUCCAUGCAAGGUUUGGGUUCCUCUACCAUUAUCUCUAACCCAAACCAUAAAACCAGGGAAUGACCUCAACAUGUAGGUGAAGCUACACAAUAUUUGGGUUUCCCACAGUAUUUGGGUUCCUCACAACCUUUGUUUUCCCAAAACUAUUUGGGUUUCCCACAAUAUUUGGGUUUCCCACAAUAUUUGGGUUUCCCACAAUAUCUGGGUUCCCCACAACCUUUGUUUUCCCCAAAAAUAUUUGGGCUCCCCACAACCUUUGUUUUCCCCAAAAUAUUUGGCUUCCCCACAACUACCUCCUAGCCGGGACCGGACCACGCCACGGGGUGCAAGGUGGGUGGUGUCCCCCCAGCCAGCCCCACCUGGUGCUCUUCUUCUC